CCUACGGGUGGCAGCAGUGGGGAAUAUUGGGCAAUGGGCGCAAGCCUGACCCAGCAACGCCGCGUGAAGGAAGAAGGCUUUCGGGUUGUAAACUUCUUUUCUCAGGGACGAAGCAAGUGACGGUACCUGAGGACUAAGCCACGGCUAACUACGUGCCAGCAGCCGCGGUAAUACGUAGGUGGCAAGCGUUAUCCGGAUUUACUGGGUGUAAAGGGCGUGUAGGCGGGAAAGCAAGUCAGAUGUGAAAACCCUGGGCUCAACCUGUGGCCUGCAUUUGAAACUGUUUUUCUUGAGUACUGGAGAGGCAGACGGAAUUCCUAGUGUAGCGGUGAAAUGCGUAGAUAUUAGGAGGAACACCAGUGGCGAAGGCGGUCUGCUGGACAGCAACUGACGCGGAGGCGCGAAAGCGUGGGGAGCAAACAGGAUUAGAUACCCCUGUAGUC
rnacentral:rRNA from 1 species